rnacentral:rRNA from 1 species
CAUAGCCGCGGGAAUACAGAGGGUGCAAGCGUUAAUCGGAAUUACUGGGCGUAAAGCGCGCGUAGGUGGUUCGCCAAGUUGGAUGUGAAAUCCCCGGGCUCAACCUGGGAACUGCAUCCAAAACUGGCGAGCUAGAGUAUGGUAGAGGGUGGUGGAAUUUCCUGUGUAGCGGUGAAAUGCGUAGAUAUAGGAAGGAACAUCAGUGGCGAAGGCGACCACCUGGACUGAUACUGACACUGAGGUGCGAAAGCGUGGGGAGCAAACAGGAUUAGAUACCCGCGUAGUCCCUGUCUCUUAUACA